ACGCUCGACACCUACGGGAGGCAGCAGUGGGGAAUAUUGCACAAUGGGGGAAACCCUGAUGCAGCGACGCCGCGUGGAGGAAGAAGGUCUUCGGAUUGUAAACUCCUGUUGUUGGGGAAAAAGAGGAUGGUACCCAACAAGGAAGUGACGGCUAACUACGUGCUAGCAGCCGCGGUAAUCUGAGCGGGCUGGCAAGGCNA
rnacentral:rRNA from 1 species